AUCUCAUAUGCUCGGCAAACGCAGCGACAUGAUGCGGGACAAAUGCCUGAAUAUAGAUACAUCCAAUGGAUGUGUCUCUGAUGAGCAAAUGCAAUUAUGUGGCAUGGGAUCAGGGGCAGGGCGGAGUUGCGGGCGCUGGGUAAUGAAUAGAGCCACGAAAUAGAGCAGCAAACUCCUUCGUAUUCCCCUCUCGACGGUCCUGUUCUGCAUCUGUGUGUUUGGAUGUGGAAAACCACACUGAUGACAGACAAGCCACGGCAGAGGAAGCCAAAGGAUAACAUGAGAUAACACACAUCAAAAGCCACUCAGACACCCACACACGAACAGCGGGGGUUAGGCAAAUAGGAUGGGUUUUAAGUGCUAUAUUUUUGGAGCCCUCUGUGGAUGCACGCACAUGUGCUCCCCAUCACAGCUGCUCGUGAUCCUUUGGCGACGAGAAAUCAGCGCUCAAAUAUGAUUAAUAAGUAAUUUCUUUGUCAACAAGUGACUGGGGAUGGCCUGCUAUGACGACAGCGGCGAUAACGACAACGAGAAUGAGAACGGAACGACGCCAUGGAAAUCUUUAAUAAAAUACAUGCAUAAAUAAAUUAUAGGGCAAGCAGAGGCGAGGAAAAACAAACUGGAUGGAGAUGAACUGCUCUGAAUGGAGGCAAACUGGUAAUAAAACAAAGCGGUGACGGCAAAGACAUACAGAAAGAUACAAGAUACAAAGGGGUGACAUGUGCAGCCGAGGCGUGACCGCACUUCCUUUUUUUCCGGCCAUAUAUACAGGAACCUCUCCACAUUGCCUUUUCCCAGCCACUUUUCAGAGCUCCUUGGCCUUGGCGUUUCCCUGUUUAUUUCACAGUUGUAAAUUGCACAAAGUAAAUGAAGUGCUUUUUAUUAUAAUCCAACAAGCUAACGUUGCCUGUUUUUAGCACAAAGAGAAAAGGAAUAUCUCAAAAUGUUAUUAGAUUAUAUGAGAGUCAUAGGUUCUCUGGAACUGUAAAAUAUAAAUUUCAAAUAGCACAGCGCAAAUUCAAGUCUGCAGUUUGCUGUAUUAAAUUGAUUGCCGAUUUUGAAUAUAUUUUUCUUUGUGUACUCCUCCCAUUCCGAGCUUUUCCCUCCCUAUAUCACGAGUUUUCUUUGAAUGCGGCCCGCUUGCCAAGUGUCGUUGACUCUCGCUGACCUAGAGGGAAAAUAAAACCAAGGGAAAUGCCUUGCCAAGAUUC
ensembl:ncRNA lncRNA:CR45552 long non-coding RNA:CR45552